GACGAACGCUGGCGGCGUGCUUAACACAUGCAAGUCGAACGGAAAGGCCCUGCUUUUGUGGGGUGCUCGAGUGGCGAACGGGUGAGUAACACGUGAGUAACCUGCCCUUGACUUUGGGAUAACUUCAGGAAACUGGGGCUAAUACCGGAUAGGAGCUCCUGCUGCAUGGUGGGGGUUGGAAAGUUUCGGCGGUUGGGGAUGGACUCGCGGCUUAUCAGCUUGUUGGUGGGGUAGUGGCUUACCAAGGCUUUGACGGGUAGCCGGCCUGAGAGGGUGACCGGCCACAUUGGGACUGAGAUACGGCCCAGACUCCUACGGGAGGCAGCAGUGGGGAAUAUUGCACAACGGGCGGAAGCCUGAUGCAGCAACGCCGCGUGCGGGAUGACGGCCUUCGGGUUGUAAACCGCUUUCGCCUGUGACGAAGCGUGAGUGACGGUAACGGGUAAAGAAGCACCGGCUAACUACGUG
rnacentral:rRNA from 1 species